UAAUUAUUAAUGAUUAAUUAAUAAUAGCUGACCUAUUAGGUGAACUGCAAAGGGACUCAGCUAUACAUAUACAUGUAUCAAUUACAGAGCUGAGUUUUGAAUUUUGGUCCUCAUGAUGUGGAAUUCCGUGUCAAACCCCAUCUAGUGAUGUCCUGGAAGUUACAGGGCAGUGUCAGUGAGUGCUGGAAGGUGGGCUUUCAGGACUUGGCUACUGGUUUUCAGUGGCAGGAUAGAAUCAUUAAGUUAUAACUGAUUUUGCAACUGAUGAUGAAAUUUCUCAAGAAGCUAAAUUGUGGCCCAUCCAUAUAUCUAUCAAUCAGGACUCCUCAACCUCAACAUAGAGGAUGUGGAAUUUAUUUUCUGUUUUCUAGAUAUUUUGUUUUGAAUUGACAGGUCAGAAACUUGAUGACUGGUCACUGUGUUGUAAUAGUUAUUAUUUAUUUCCUCAUCCUUACUGCAACAGAUAACCCCAUCCUUUUUCCAAUAGAUAACCAUAGAGGAACUAGAGUAUAUGCAGACUUGAAGCCAGAAGACAGGAAGUUAACCAGAUCAGAAUCAUUCAUUCAAGGAUCAGAGUCAAAUAACCAGCUACAGGCCCAAGCCUCUGAUUUGGGCCCAAAAGGAAAAGAAAUUCAGAGGAGACAGUGACUCUCAGACUCUCCCUUGUUAAUGAGCAAGAGUUCCCUGGAUCCAAGAGGUAAGUGAGAGGCGAUCUGGGUUUUAGUGUGGAAACUGCAUUCUGAGUUCUCUGGGCCAAAAAGGCCAUGGAGUCAACUGUAGAAUCACUGCUUACCUACUUUUAUCCACACAAGAUGGGGGAUCUUCACACUCACCUAAAAUUCAGUACAACCUUUGCUAAAAAUGGAGAUGAUUGGGAGAGAAUGUCUCCCAGUGGGACUCCCCUGAAGCCCUAAAAACCAUUUCCUGAGCCCUUUGGUGCAGGGAUUUGUGUAUUUCCUGAAUGUAGGCCCACACGAGUUCAGUCUUCCACUCUCAGGUGACAGACUGUCCUCAAAUCAGGGAACUAGAAUUAUGCCCAGAUCAUCUUGCUCCUGAAAUGGCCCUGGAAAGCUGUAGCUAAAGAGUGGAGGACAAGAUCUCC
rnacentral:lncRNA from 1 species